UGGCGGCGUGGAUUAGGCAUGCAAGUCGAACGGGAACGGAAUCUUCGGAUUCCUAGUAGAGUGGCGAACGGGUGAGUAACGCGUGGGAAACCUGCCUCUGAGAUGGGAAUAACACUCCUAACGGAGUGCUAAUACCGAAUGACAUUGUUGAUUCGCAUGUGUCGACGAUCAAAGGUGGCCUCUGCUUGCAAGCUACUGCUCAGAGAUGGUCCCGCGUCCCAUUAGCUUGUUGGUAGGGUAACGGCCUACCAAGGCGACGAUGGGUAGCUGGUCUGAGAGGACGGCCAGCCACACUGGGACUGAGAUACGGCCCAGACUCCUACGGGAGGCAGCAGUCGAGAGGCUUUGGCAAUGGGGGAAACCCUGACCAAGCGACGCCGCGUGGGCGAUGACGGCCUUCGGGCUGUAAAGCCCUGUCAUGCGGGAAGAAAGAGCCUUGUGAUAACACCACGAGGUUUUGACGGUACCGCAAGAGGAAGCUCCGGCUAACUCCGUG
rnacentral:rRNA from 1 species